rnacentral:rRNA from 1 species
AUGGUUGACCUCGGAUCAGGUAGGAUACCCGC